ACUCGAUAUUGCGAAACCAAACUUGGUAUAAGAGCUCCCAACACUGCUAAACUGGUCAUCACUAAACCUUUAAAAAAAAAAAAAAAAAAGGAUUCGCUGGUACCCAGAUUUCCACAGGAGUUAACCAUUUCCUGCGCAGCUAAAUCAAGUCUUACCAGUAGGAAACCGGAACUUGCUAGGACUAAGAAACUUGAGGCUAGGCUGACCCCAUGGUUGUUAUGAUUAGAAAUCCGAGGCCACUGGAAACCCGGAGCUGCUGACAAACGAGUCACAGAGUAACUUCGCCUUCGCAUGGGGAAACGGGCUGGUGCAGUGAUGUCAUCUUGGCUCAGUGCAGCCUCGACUUCCUGGGAUCCGAUCCUCCCGCUUCAGCCUCUAGAGUAGCCGAGACCACAGGUCACCCCUCGCUGCCAGGCUCUCUUCCCGGUCCAGAGCCCACAGGAUCCUACAGGAGGGGCCAACAACUGCUUGCCUUUGAAACUUGAAAUUCUCGGUCUAAGGUUCCUUAGGAGCGUAAAAGGCACAGCGUUUUCUGAUCGCAGCUUCAGGUCUCCCCCGCCUGUCCCGGUACCUCUCCUGCAGGACGGAACUCUGUGGGAACCGCUCGUUGAUUCUGAUGGUUAACUGUCAGAUAUCCUUGAUAUUGGGCAUAGGAUUUGCAAGAGGGCAGGAGAGAAAAAUGAACUGCAAGACUCCAGCACAAGAGGUGGGAUUGCUGGCAGAUGUCUGCUCCCUCUCCAAACCUAAUGAACAUCUCAAAGUGCCAUCCACUUUCCUAUACCCUUGAUCUGUGAAAUGGAUCACUGACGCUUUCUCUGUCUUUCCGGAAAUGCAAAACAGGUGAAUUUUCAAGCGCUUGAAUUGUCUCUCACACUUUUCAGUCAAGAGUGGGGCUAUAAACUCCUUCCUCAUAGGAAAUAAUGAACUGCCACUGCUUGGAAGUAAAACGUAUUUUUCCCAUAAGCUUUCACAUUUCCCCCAAAAAAUUAUACAUCCAGAUGUAAUCCCCCCAAGAGGCUUACAGACCCUACCAGGAGCGUUCCCACGCGAACGCAUCAUCUCCCAAUCGGAUCCUGAAAACACCAUGCAACCAAUUCCAUCCUUUUCUGGAUCAACCUGGGCAGAGGACAGGUGCAGAGGAGCCCAGAGAAGGGCCUUGACAAGUCAGGAGACCCAAUUUGGGGUCGCAAUUGUCACUCACUCCCCAGGCGUUUGCUUU
rnacentral:antisense_RNA from 1 species